CCUGGGCGGUGGGGUCCCUCCGCCUGGCCUGCUAGGAUCCUCAGAAACCGGCAGUCCAACAUCCCCCAGGGUUCCCAGAUUGUGAGAGGUCGCAGGCCAGGCGGAGGGACCCCACCAGUGCACA
rnacentral:pre_miRNA from 1 species